GAAGCUAGUCAGACUUAAAAGUGUGCCUAGUGGUCUCUCUGAAGAACCAAUUGAGGAACUUCCAAGGACUUUUGGAUUAUCAAAAGGUUGAGUGAGUGUUUCCCUUCACAGUGGUGGACCUUGUGAAUGUGUAAAAAAUGGAUUUGAACUCUGGACUUCAAUCUCUACAAGCCCUUGCUCCACUUCCCCAAAAUGCUUUGUAAUCUCACUGAAUUCUCAGGUGGGCCAAGAUCGAGAAGGGAUUUAACCUGAUUGCAAAGGCUUUUGUGGCCUUUUGGGACUUCCGUUUUGGAGCAGAGGCAGCUCUUCCAUGAUGUGAGAUUAUCUUGUCUAGGCCUCUCUGGCCUAGGCACGUGUUUCUUAUCCUGUAUUUUCUUUAAUCCUUAAUCUUUAAUAAACCUCAUAAAAAUAUAAUACUCCUUACAGAGAGAAACUAAUUUCUACCUGCCUCAGUCUCACCUAAAUUUUAAUCUUUACAGUUGGUGACCUAAUAGGAGAAAAUACUCUCAAUCUUCUGAUUCUUUUCUGAUCUUAAGUCCAACUUUUAAUAGCUAGUGCCUAGAAUUUUUUUUUUUUUUGAUCCACGCUUCUCUGGCCAAGGUUUUUUUUUACCCUUGCAAAGCUGCUGCUCAUUCCAGCCAUCAGAUAGCUCACAGGCUCGCUCUGGACCUGUUGCCUUUGCCGCCCACCCCACCCGGUUUAGCCGCUUCUGCCUGCCUGCCUGCCUGCUGCCUCCACCAUCCGCUUCGGACAGCCCCUGCUCCAGGAUUCAGACCUGUUAGCAGAUUGCAGCUCACCUGCCCACCCCGGCUGCCCGCUCCGGCUCCCGGCCCUGCUUGCCUGAGUUCCUGUCAUUCCUGGCCUACCCCGGUGCACUUGAUCCUUGUUCAACCCAGAUCCUUGGAGCAGAUCACUCAAAACUCAUUUCUACCAGCUGGUAACUAUUGGCCACGUGGGUGGAUGGUAGCAGGGGAGAGAGAAAAGGGAGGAGAACAAACAGACUUUUUCAAGCAGGAACUUAAAAGCAAUGGUUAUUUUACAAGUAUGCCUUUUACUUGCAUUGAUCCUUUUAUUGACUUCAUCUGCGUUCCUUUUAGCUAACUUUGGGGAAAAAACUCUGCUUCACAGCGAACUGAGAGCCAGGCCUAAAGACAUGUGGUCCUGGGUUAAAAUCUGGCCUCAGAUCCUCCCCAGCUGUGGGGCCUUGGAUGGGUCCCUUGACCCCCAUUGCCUAGCCCUUACCACUCUGCCUUCCUACAAUAGACAUUUAAAUGGAUAAUUAAAAACAAACAAACAAACAAAAAAACCCAAGGAACUUUAAAGACUUGAGGUUAUAAAUUUAGGGCAUUUCAGACUCCAAUGGUUUAUACAAAUCUCUGUAUUUCUAUUGCAUUUUGAUAUUUGCUUGGUUUAAGAUAUAACUUUGUGAUUUUAAGUUCUUAUAUUACUGGAUUCAAUAUUAUUCUGUUAUACUGUUCAUUUAAUGUACUGAGUUUUAAAAUUCUGUUACUUUUCCCCUAUAACCAUAUUGAAAAAAUUCAUAGGUUAAUUAAGCCCAUAUAUGAAAAAAAAGCUUUUUUUCCAUUUUUGCCUUUGUAAAUUGUCACAUAGAGGAUAGAUGGACUUCAUCAGAACUGGUUACAAUUGUAUAACAACCUUUGGAAAAUUUAAUGUGCUAAAUACCUCAAAUGAUUUUAAGGGGUUUUUAAACAUGAUUUUUGGAAUUUUUUUAACAAUCUCUGGUUAUUUUGCCUGCCCCUACCAGGAGGUAAGGCCCAUAGCUGAAGUGAAAUAUAUUUUAUAAACCCCAACCUUCCCACAUGUGAAUGGAAGUUGGGAAGUUAAUCUCAGGGCAGGAGGCAAAAGCCUCCAAAAAGGAGCACCUCUCAUUUAUACUCUUCAGCUCACUAUUUUACUUCCACCAGAAUGAUAUAUAGAUUUCUUGAUGAUGUUCUAAACCUAAGAUGAAUUUUACUUUGUUUAAAAAAAUGUUUAAAUACCAAGGUUAAAAGAUUGCUGUUUGUAAAAAUUGUGACAAAUAUCCAUCAAUUCAUAGAUUUUUUAAAAUGUCAUACAGCAACUUAUGUGAAAUAUGAAAGUGUGUUUGUUUGCUAUUGUAAUUAAUUGGGCUAUUGAGAAUUUUGGGGAUAUUGAUACCUAUAUAUUUGUACUACUGUCCUUUAAAAGUAAAAAAUGUUACCUUGUUCAAUUCAUUUGCCUUCACUCACAGUGGUCAUAGCCAAUUAUUAUGAGGAAAUGGAUCUCAUUUUUGGUGAGAAAGCCUUGCAUUCUAUAUUUUCUUAGCUAACACAGUGUCAAUGAUUAUAAGCUAUAUUUUUGAAUUUUUAAAGCUCUUUUAUUAUUAUAUUUUUCUUGCAUUUGCAAUAUACUAUUUUUUCUUUCUUUUUUAUAUUUAAAGCACAUGUCACCAGUAUUAAGAUUUUCUUUAACUUUUUGACUUUUCAGUACUAUAAGUUUGAAAUAUAUUUGUCAGAGCAUGCCCAAAAAGCUUGUGACAAUAAAAACGAUGACACUAAUUAUUUAAAAAAUUAAGGGACUUUGCUUAAUGAUUCUGUCUGAUUCCAGGACAAGAUAUACACAAUAGAGCCAUUGCACAGAGCCAAAGAAAAGUGAAUCCAGGAUGGAUUGAUGCACUUCUAGGCCAAUACAAAGGUUUUUAACCUAAUGUUAGACUUGGGGUUGCGACACUUGACUUAUGUUAAGAUGUAGGCCUUCCUUGUGUCCACACUCACUCUGAAGAUACAGACGAGUAUCCCCAAAACCUUGGCUCCUAUAAUCUGGUCCCCUUUUCUGCCUCUCAUAGUGUGGUACCUUUCUGUAGUCCUGGCUCCUGACUGGGUAAAUGCAUCAUUGCUUAGAUCAUUUUGAUUGGGCCCUGAUUCAAGGACCUGUUAUAGAUUUAUUUUUCUUUUCACUUGGAAUUUUUACACAUAAGACUUUGCUAGCCUAUAUUUUCAUCCAGUAUUUUCUUUUUAUUUUGAUUUUUCUGAUGUCUUUUUAAUAUCUCUUGCCAAUUGAUUCAUAUACCUCAUACCUCGGCUAUGCAUCCCUAAGUGAUCCUGUAUUUUUCAAUCAUCCACAACACAGGGAAAUGUAAAAAAAAUAUCAUUAUUUAAGUUGCAAAGUUUAAAUUCCUUUUUAGAAGAGUUUUAGAUUAAGAAACAUGAUACUUCUCUGAAUUCAGAAACUGAACUGUUGGAGAAGCCACCAUGAAGAAGCUUCCAGACCACAAGCUGCACAAAAAUGAACUUUGGGUAUAGUUGAUUGAACAUUUAUUUGUAUGUAUACUUUCAUGCCAAAGGGGACUGCCCCCUAAUUGGCUUUCUGUCAAUGCGUCCAGCAAUUAUUGGUUUUGUUCUUUUUUCUCUUAUCCUCACAUUAUUGUAAUCUUUUAAGUUGAUUAUGUUUUUAUGAUCCUUUUGGGGAAAAAUUAAUUUUUUAUAAAAAUGAUCACAUGGAUAAAUGUAAAAAAUGGAUUUGAACUCUGGACUUCAAUCCCCACAAGCCCUUGCUCCACUUCCCCAAAAUGCUUUGUAAUCUCACUGAAUUCUCAGGUGGGCCGAGAUCCAGAAGGGAUUUAACCUGAUUGCAAAGGCUUUUGUGGCCUUUUGGGAUUUCCGUUUUGGAGCAGAGGUGGCUCUUCCAUGAUGUGAGAUUAUCUUGUCUAGGCCUCUCUGGCCUAGGCACGUGUUUCUUAUCCUGUAUUUUCUUUAAUCCUUAAUCUUUAAUAAACCUCAUAAAAAUAUAA